UACAGAGGUCUCAAGCGUUGUUUGGAUUCAUUGGGCGUAAAGGGUGCGUAGGCGGCGCGGUAAGUCGGAUGUGAAAUCUCGGAGCUUAACUCGAAACUGCAUUCGAUACUGCGUGCUUGAGGACUGGAGAGGAGACUGGAAUUACGGUGUAGCGGUGAAAUGCGUAGAUAUCGUAAGGAAGACCGUGGCGAAGCGGGUCUCUGGACAG
rnacentral:rRNA from 1 species